GAUUUCUGGUUUGAUGUACCUGUCCCGCUGCAGCAAUGCAUGUGAGUGACGGAGUAUGUCUGCCAUCCUUCUAGAGAACUCAAGCUAUCCUUUACUGGACCGGUUUGGGUCAUCUAGAUCUUUUACUUUGAAAAAAUUAGAGUGUUUCAAGCAGGCGUUUUGCUAUGAAUACAUUAGCAUGGAAUAAUGAGUUAGGACUUCGGUUCUAUUUUGUUGGUUUCUAGGACUGAAGUAAUGAUUGAUAGGGAUAGUUGGGGGUGCUAGUAUUCAGCGGCCAGAGGUGAAAUUCUUGGAUUCGCUGAAGACUAACUUAUGCGAAAGCAUU
rnacentral:rRNA from 3 species